AUUUUGUCUGUGAAUGUUCUCUGUCAUCGUAGUCUAAGGAGCUUGGAAAGAUGAGCUUCUAGAACUUGUAUGUGAGGAGCAGGAGCUCCCUGAACGAGAACCCCGGCCACGUCGUCAUUUUUUUGAGGUUGUCCGUCGUCAAUGUACCAGUCUAAGGAGCUUGGAAAGAUGAGCUUCUAGAACUUAUAUGUGAGGAGCAGGAGCUCCCUGAAGGAGAACCCCGGCCACUUCGUCAUCUUCCCCUUGGAUGUCGUACCGCCACAUCUGGCAGAUGUACAAGGAUCAGUCUGAACAGCGGAGGUGGUAGCAGGAGCUGCGGCGCUAUUUGUCCUGCAGGUGUCUUGAGCGGCUUGCCAGAUGCUUUGCGGGUGCCGGCCCCGUGCGAGUGUCUUGAGCGGCUUGCCAGAUGCAGCAGAAGAGCAGCAGCUCACUGAAGGAGAAGCCCGGUCACGUUGUCAUCUUCCCCAUCGAUGUCGUACCGCCACAUCUGGCAGAUGUGCAAGAAGUCAGAGGUCCUCUUCUGGACAGCAGAGGAGGCCAGAGUGAAGAAGAAAAGCAGCAGCUCGCUGACGGAGAACCCUGGCCACGUCGUCAUCUUCCCCUUGGAUGUCGUACCGCCACAUCUGCGAGAUGUACAAGAAGACUGAUGCAUACGUCGGGACAACGGAAGAGACUCUGACACGAGGGGCAUGGAGAAACCUGUUUUUUUGUUGUUUUUUUGAGGUUGUUCAUCGUUAAAGUACCAGUCUAAGGAGCUUGGAAAGAUGAGCUUCUAGAACUUGUAUGUGAGGAGCAGGAGCUCCCUGAACGAGAACCCCGGCCACGUCGUCAUUUUUUUGAGGUUGUCCGUCGACAAUGUACCAGUCUAAGGAGCUUGGAAAGAUGAGCUUCUAGAACUUAUAUGUGAGGAGCAGGAGCUCCCUGAAGGAGAACCCCGGCCACUUCGUCAUCUUCCCCUUGGAUGUCGUACCGCCACAUCUGGCAGAUGUACAAGGAUCAGUCUGAACAGCGGAGGUGGUAGCAGGAGCUGCGGCGCUAUUUGUCCUGCAGGUGUCUUGAGCGGCUUGCCAGAUGCUUUGCGGGUGCCGGCCCCGUGCGAGUGUCUUGAGCGGCUUGCCAGAUGCAGCAGAAGAGCAGCAGCUCACUGAAGGAGAAGCCCGGUCACGUUGUCAUCUUCCCCAUCGAUGUCGUACCGCCACAUCUGGCAGAUGUGCAAGAAGUCAGAGGUCCUCUUCUGGACAGCAGAGGAGGCCAGAGUGAAGAAGAAAAGCAGCAGCUCGCUGACGGAGAACCCUGGCCACGUCGUCAUCUUCCCCUUGGAUGUCGUACCGCCACAUCUGCGAGAUGUACAAGAAGACUGAUGCAUACGUCGGGACAACGGAAGAGUCUAAGGAGCUUGGAAAGAUGAGCUUCUAGAACUUGUAUGUGAGGAGCAGGAGCUCCCUGAACGAGAACCCCGGCCACGUCGUCAUUUUUUUGAGGUUGUCCGUCGACAAUGUACCAGUCUAAGGAGCUUGGAAAGAUGAGCUUCUAGAACUUGUAUGUGAGGAGCAGGAGCUCCCUGAACGAGAACCCCGGCCACGUCGUCAUUUUUUUGAGGUUGUCCGUCGUCAAUGUACCAGUCUAAGGAGCUUGGAAAGAUGAGCUUCUAGAACUUAUAUGUGAGGAGCAGGAGCUCCCUGAAGGAGAACCCCGGCCACUUCGUCAUCUUCCCCUUGGAUGUCGUACCGCCACAUCUGGCAGAUGUACAAGGAUCAGUCUGAACAGCGGAGGUGGUAGCAGGAGCUGCGGCGGUAUUUGUCCUGCAGGUGUCUUGAGCGGCUUGCCAGAUGCUUUGCGGGUGCCGGCCCCGUGCGAGUGUCUUGAGCGGCUUGCCAGAUGCUUUGCCGGUUGCAGCAGAAGAGCAGCAGCUCACUGAAGGAGAAGCCCGGUCACGUUGUCAUCUUCCCAUCGAUGUCGUACCGCCACAUCUGGCAGAUGUGCAAGAAGUCAGAGGUCCUCUUCUGGACAGCAGAGGAGGCCAGAGUGAAGAAGAAAAGCAGCAGCUCGCUGACGGAGAACCCUGGCCACGUCGUCAUCUUCCCCUUGGAUGUCGUACCGCCACAUCUGCGAGAUGUACAAGAAGACUGAUGCAUACGUCGGGACAACGGAAGAGACUCUGACACGAGGGGCAUGGAGAAACCUGUUUUUUUUGUUUUUUUGAGGUUGUUCAUCGUUAA